rnacentral:rRNA from 1 species
CACGUAGGCGGGUUGCUAAGUCAGGGGUGAAAUCCUGGAGCUCAACUCCAGAACUGCCCUUGAUACUGGCGACCUCGAGUCCGGGAGAGGUGAGUGGAACUCCGAGUGUAGAGGUGAAAUUCGUAGAUAUUCGGAAGAACACCAGUGGCGAAGGCGGCUCACUGGCCCGGUACUGACGCUGAGGUGCGAAAGCGUGGGGAGCAAACGGGAUUAGAUACCCUGGUAGUCCACGCCGUAAACGAUGGAUGCUAGCCGUUGGCGGGCUUGCUCGUCAGUGGCGCAGCUAACGCUUUAAGCAUCCCGCCUGGGGAGUACGGUCGCAAGAUUAAA